CUAUCACAGCGCUAAGUAAAGUGGAGUGCUCUUUGGGAUCCACCAGGCCUGCAGUACUGACUGCUUCCUGUACUUGCUUGGAGUUGGCCAUUUGCUUGGAUUCCUUUUAAGAAAACAAAUACAGGGAAAAAAAAGAAAAAAAAAGAGAACAUUAAUAGCUUACAGUGUUCAUCAUCAAUGAGGAAGGACAAAUUCACUGCGUAUGCAAAACACACUGUGGUCUUAGCAAGACUUUCCAUGUGGAACUGCAGGUCAGAAGCAGAUGCAGCACAUUUCAGAAGACUCAAAUUUUAUCAAGGAAUAAUCGCCAAAUCUUAUCAGCUCAAGAUAUUACCAGUUCAGUAAGAUGAAAACAAAUAAAAUCCAGCAAGCAAACCUGGAAACA
rnacentral:lncRNA from 1 species